AGAGUUUGAUCAUGGCUCAGGACGAACGCUGGCGGCGUGCCUAACACAUGCAAGUCGAACGAAGUAUAUUUUCGGAUAUGCUUAGUGGCGGACGGGUGAGUAACGCGUGAACAAUCUGCCCUGUACACAGGAAUAGCCUCGGGAAACUGGGAUUAAAACCGGAUAACACUUUCUGGCCGCAUGGCCGGGAAGUCAAAUUGAUUUAGAGGUACAGGAUGAGUUCGCGUCUGAUUAGCUAGUUGGUGAGGUAACGGCUCACCAAGGCGACGAUCAGUAGCCGGCCUGAGAGGGUGAACGGCCACACUGGAACUGAGACACGGUCCAGACUCCUACGGGAGGCAGCAGUGGGGAAUAUUGCACAAUGGAGGAAACUCUGAUGCAGCGACGCCGCGUGAGUGAAGAAGGUCUUCGGAUCGUAAAACUCUGUCCUUGGUGACGAAAAAAAUGACGGUAGCCAAGGAGGAAGCCCCGGCUAACUACGUGCCAGCAGCCGCGGUAAUACGUAGGGGGCGAGCGUUGUCCGGAUUUACUGGGCGUAAAGGGUGAGUAGGCGGUAAUAUGUGUCAGAUGUAAAAGGCUAUGGCUUAACCAUAGUUGGCAUUUGAAACUGUAUUACUUGAGUGCAGGAGAGGUAAGUGGAAUUCCUAGUGUAGCGGUGAAAUGCGUAGAUAUUAGGAGGAACACCAGUGGCGAAGGCGACUUACUGGACUGUAACUGACGCUGAGUCACGAAAGCGUGGGUAGCAAACAGGAUUAGAUACCCUGGUAGUCCACGCUGUAAACGAUGAGUGCUAGGUGUUGGGUAGCGAUAUUCAGUGCCGAAGUAAACACAAUAAGCACUCCGCCUGGGGAGUACGGUCGCAAGACUGAAACUCAAAUGAAUUGACGG
rnacentral:rRNA from 1 species